GUGGAUUAGAUACCCUGGUAGUCCACACUGUAAACGAUGUACACUAGGUGCUGGGGCGGAUGCUUCAGUGCCGUAGCUAACGUGAUAAGUGUACCGCCUGGGGAGUAUGCUCGCAAGGGUGAAACUCAAAGGAAUUGACGGGGGCCCGCACAAGCGGUGGAGCAUGUGGUUUAAUUCGAUGGUACGCGAGGAACCUUACCUGGGUUUGACAUACAGUGUGAUAGGUCAGAGAUGAUCUAGCGUAGCAAUACGACGCUGUACAGGUGCUGCACGGCCGUCGCCAACU
rnacentral:rRNA from 1 species